AUGCCGAGUGAGGUGAGGAAGCUACAGAAGGUGUUUGCGAGAGAGGAGAAGAGGCGGAAGGAGCUGCCGCUAGAGCCGAAGCAGAAAGCAUCCUAUGAGAUACCGCAGAAGCUGCAUGAUUUGGGAGCAAACAGCAACACCACCGAACCUCAUUGGUUUGCAUUGUUUUUGUGGAUGGCGUGCUCGUGCAUCUGGCCUAAUCUGCCAUUUGAAUUACCAGGCGCUUUGUUGGCCGGGGCAUGGGUCAUCUCAUGGUUCCAAAUUCAGAUGAGUUUGAAGUGUGCAUUCGACACAUCUGAGAAGCAGCACAAUUUUCGGGCUGAUCGUCCUAAAUUGAACUUCAAAGACCGUUAUUCCGAGUCGUACGGAGAUUCUCGUCUUUCUACUCCCAUUUUUGUGCCAUGGAUGUCAGGCGUCGCUGGUGCAAGAGCUGCUUAG
rnacentral:rRNA from 1 species